CCACCGCUGUGAGCCUUGAGAGGAACUGCUGCAGUCUCUUAACUCCUCCCCUUGCCUGGGACCACUCUGUCAUACACCUUGUCUACCAUCAGCAGCCAAAGGGACGCCACACGACCAGCUAUGAGUAUGGCCAGUAGCCAUUCCCUCAGAGUCUUCUCUUGUGGAAGCAGCACUUUGCAGCAAAGAAGAGAAGAUGGCCAGCAGGUCCGAGUCCUUUCGGAGAAUGAGAUAAAGAAAAGUAAAAAUGAAAGCACUAAGUCGGUGGCGAAUCAGUGGUACCACACCUCUCAUCCCACCCCCUUUUUGCUGGAGGAGCUCGUCCUUUCAACAGAGCUGUGAAUUCUAGCUACUCGUACCCUCAGAUUCCCUUGCAGCUAAGGCAUUGAUAUGAGACCCGAUACAAUCCAACUGACCUGUAAAGUCUGCUGAGGGUCUCAUGGAAGAUUCCUUCUUCGUGGAGUUGAAUCUAAUUGACACGUGGUGACUGGAAUUGCUGCCGCCGUCUUGUUAGUAGGAGGGAGGCGUUGCUGACACGCUGAGGAUGGCGGAGCCAAGACAGAUUCUGGAUCCUGGAUGACAUCGUUGGUCCAGUUCAGCUGGAGUGGAUCCAGCUUAUUGCUAUGUGAAAUAAUGUCCUUAUUUGUUUCAUUUAUUUUGGUUAGAUAUUCUGUUCUCAUAGCCAAAAGCAUCCUUGCUGAUGCAGUGGCCAAAGCAUUUUAACAUUCUAAGCAGUAACACUGUAUCUUUAGAAGGCCACCCUAGUCAACACAACUGGUUCUUGCCCUUGCUAGUGUGUUAUUUCCCCAUUUGGAGACAGGCUAGGGAGAUGUGCUAUAUCCACUUGAAUAAAGAUUAUGCAGCUAGGUAAUCUGAGUUUAAAACCUGACUUUACCUCUGUGACCUUGGGCAAUUACUUAACUUCCCUGUACCUCAAUUUCCUCACCCAUUAAAUGAGGGGAAUAAGCAUCCUGCCUCAUAGGAUUGUACUGAGGACAAAUGAGCUAAUGCGUAUGAAAUACUUAGAAUAGUGCCUGGCCUAUAGCAAGUCAUCAAUCAAUUUACACCAGCUUUAUUUUCAUCCUCUCCGGCAGUGUGCUCUUCUGUGUGUUUCCAAGCAUUUUUGCUGCCACACUUUCCACCCACAUUUCCCUGUGCCAAGCACUGCUGGGAAUAGCUGAAAUGCAGAACAAGCAUGGCCAGCUCAGUUCUCUUCCUGGCAUGCAUAGCACAAGAUCAUCAGAAAAGAAAUUUAACUAACAAAGAAUAACAAAUUUGUCUGAAAGCACCAUAUAGAAGCCAAAAUUCCCCACACUCCCCAAAUCCCACACUCUAGGUGUCCUUCAUUUCAUGCAUGAAGACAGAGGUGACAAGGACUCCUUGGGGCUGGUUUUCUCAGGUCCCUGGCGUGUGCCCUUAGUACCAAGUGUGUCCCUCAGACAUCUAUAACCAUAGUGAACAGAAAUGGGACAACCCCACAGGUCCUCUUACAUCUUUACCACUUAUUAUUUUGCUGCCUCUCAUUUAUCUGCUUCUUUAGUAUUUUGUUGGGCCAAGAAUCUCUUCUUGUCUUCUUCUCUUGGGAGGCUCCUUUUCCCAUCAAUGAUGAUUGUACAUCCCUGUCUGGCUACCACCCACAGAGACUGCAGAGGCUAUUUCAGCUUCUUACAUCUGCAUUAUGCUCGUCAAUGUGGGUCGGCUUUCAGCCAGUACUUCUGUAUAUUUUAUCCUGGGGGCCCUUGGCAGCUCUCAAAAUACUUUGGCCUAAGUUAUUUAAUCUUCACAAAAAUCUUGUGCGGUGCAUGUUUUUAUUCUAAACCAGACUCCUUGGGGCUUUUUCCCUUCCUGUAGAGAUCAAGGGCAGAGGGACAAAAAUACUUCACUUUUUUUACAGUAUGGAUUGAGGCGAUAAGGACUUUGUUUCAUUUGACCUCACCAGUGAGUAAGUGUUUCAGGCGGCAGGAGAGCAAAGACCACGCAGAAAUCACUGAAAGUCCACCUGAAACUCGAGGGCUUGGCUUUUGAAGGAAGAACAAACACCGGAUACUUCUCUGGGUUGAAGGGUUCUGACUUCUAACUGGUGGUCCAGCAUAGAAUAGGGCAGGAAAGGGAGAGAGCUCUGGAAACUAGUUGGCUUAACAAAGUACUCCCUGGUAUGAAAUCUUUUGCCAUUUGUAUGUGUGAAUCUCAAGAAGGAAUAUAUCUGUCAAGAAGGACUUCUUGUGAUUAACUGGGUCCAAAUCCAUAACCAGAAGCUCUCAGCCGUUGCUGAUGAAGGCCUUUCCUUAAAUGCACAUUGUAUUUUAAGGAAAAGCCAGACUGAGCUUUCAAACUCCUAAACUGUGCUUCUGCGGUUUUAGUUCACCUUUAUAAGGGAGCUCCUUUACUGUAUUUCAACCAAUAGCCUGAGACCUACCAUGUCCAGCUGGAACUGUGCAGCUAUAUGCUCAUUUGCAUUGGUACUGACAAAUCAGAUCCGCUCCAGAACAACGAAUCAGACUGCAGGAAGCCAACUAAUCACGCAACCAUGCAAGCUGUGUGAUUUGGGAUCCUCAUUUGCAUAAAAAUGGACCAACCAGGAACCAGGGUGGGAACUUUAUAAAAGCAGCCUCUUCUUUGAGUGAAGCAACUCACAGUUUCCAUAGGAGGCUGAGGCUUCUAGCUUGUGAACUGUUCACCUGAAUCAAGUUUUUCCUCUUAAAUCACCUCAGGCUGGGAACUUUUGUUGACAUAGACCAAAAAAGGACAAUAUUCAGUCCCCUUAAGAUUAAAGAUGCUCUCUAUUGGUUUAUUUAUCCAAGAGCCACUCAAAACCUUAUAUUAGAAAUGACUAGGCUAGAAACCAAGGAGCCCGCCCUGUCCCCUGCGGGGGGGGGGGGGGGGGGGGAGUGUUUGAGAUUCUCUGUGUGGAGUUGACGUGCUGCUGGAGGUUUGCCUGAACAGGACUGCAGGUUUGUAGAGCUCUGGUUGCUGCAUUCGGGAAGGUGCAAGGAAACAGAGGCCUCCGCGUGGAGGGUUGCUACCACGCAUCUUUGCCACCUCAGCGUGUGUCUGAGCCGCCAGACUUGUGGAAAAGUUCCUUUCAUUUCUUCAGUUUUUAUUCAGUGCCAGGUUGGGAGGCUUGAUGAAGGGGUCAGGGGCCCAACCAUUGUGGUAACCAGAGCAGUACAAGUGACAAAUGCUGUUCUUUCCUUUUCUUUCUUUUUCUUUUCUGCCUUCCAGCAAGAUUUUAAGAAAUGAAAACAAAAAACUCAACCAAAACAAAAGAACAACCUCACUUUCUACUUUCAAGCACGCCCUGUUCCUUCACAAGGAAAAAAGUGCACAGGGCAGCAUUUAUUCAUAAAGCCUCUAUUACGCUGUCUGUCCUUGCUUGAUUUUGGCUCAGGGUUCAAUGGGAGGAGGGGAAGCGGGGGAAGGCUCACAGUAGAGAACAGUAAAAAGUUCUGCUUUUCCCGAUGUAAUGGAAAACCACAAUAGUUCUGGACGAGUGGCAUGGACCACAGCAGUGACUUUAUUCUCUAUCUCCCCCUUGGACUGGUGGUUGCCAACUUCAGGCCUGGCAGGCUAACCCAGCCAUUCCUGCCUGGCAUGUCCUCCCUCUGAAAGGAGCUUCUUCAAGGAUAAAUGGGGCCUCUUCACUCACUGUCACUUGGAUGGGCUCCUUCGGGUGGCUUUCACGGUAGAGCAAUUUCUACCUUAACUGUGCAGUGUGAAAACUUUGGAGUCAUCCUGGACUUCUCUCUUCCUCACCUCCCACUUCUAGUCCACCAGAAUAUCCUGUUGGCUCUGCAUUCAAAAUGUAGUCAUUAUCUAAACCAGUCAGUGUCUGUAACAAUUUAAAUCACGAGACUCAUUCAGUAUGCCUAUAUAAGGUUCAACAAGAGAAAUGGAACCAGUAGGAUGUAUAUCUAUUAGGAGAUUUCUUGUAAGGAAUCGCCUUACAUAAUCAUGUGGGCUGGUUAGGCAAUUCUGAAAUGCACAGGGUGGGUGCUCAGGAAAGGCAGGCAGGAACUCGGAGCACAAGCUGAAGAUGCUUUCAUUACUUGGAUUGUCUUCUUAACCACCGCCCCCCCAACCCCGCCACCCCCAGCUCUGCUUGUUAAGCCUUUCAACUGGAUCAGGGCUCCCCUGGAUCAAAGAUAAUUUUCUUUACUUACUCAAUUAGAGACUUUAAUCACAUCCACCAAAUAUCUUUAUUGUGACACCUAGAUUAAUGUUUAAUUGAAUAGGGGGCUGUAACCCAGCCAAGUUGAGCUAUAAAACGUAUCAUCACAUUACCUACCCUCACCUCUCUCCUCCACAUCCCUCCUGUGGUUGGAGUCACCAUUGUUUCCCCUCAUUGCUUUAGCCUCUUACCACUUUCCCUGUUUCUUCUCUUGUUCUCCUUACCCCUUCUUCACCCUUCCCCCCAACUAUUUUCUUUUGCGUGUGUGCUUAUUUUUUUCUUUUGAUUUAAUCUUUAUUGUAUUUUUUCCAUUACUAGUUAGUUCCCUUAUAUCCUCCUCCCCCAGCAAUCACCACACCGUCGUCCAUGUCCACGAGUCCUUUUUCCUUUUUGGUCAAUCCCUCUGCUCCCCAACCUCCCCCCACCCCUCACUAGCUGGCAUUGGCUCUAUCUAUGAGUCUGUCUUUAUCUGUUUAUUAGUUCAGGUUAUUUAUUAGAUUCCACAUAUGAAUGAAAUAUGGUAUUUGUCUUUCUCUGACUGGCUUAUUUCACUUAGCAUGUUUUCCAGGUCCACCCAUACUGUCACAAAGGCUACAUUUUCUUCUUUUUUAUGGCUAAGUAGUAUUCCACUGUGUAAAUGUUCCAUAGUUGUUUCAUCCAGCUGUUUUCAACAGAGCAGCUACAGUGACCAUUGUUCC